AAAGGAAUUGACGGGGGCCCGCACAAGCGGUGGAGCAUGUGGUUUAAUUCGAUGCAACGCGAAGAACCUUACCUACCCUUGACAUACAGUGUAACUUGCAGAGAUGCGAGGUAUCCGAGAGGAGCGCUGAUACAGGUGCUGCAUGGCUGUCGUCAGCUCGUGUCGUGAGAUGUUGGGUUAAGUCCCGUAACGAGCGCAACCCUUGUCUUUGGUUACCAUCAAGUAAAGUUGGGGACUCCAGAGAGACUGCCGGUGACAAACCGGAGGAAGGCGGGGACGACGUCAAGUCAUCAUGGCCCAUACGGGUAGGGCUACACACGUGCUACAAUGGCGGAUACAGAGGGAAGCGAAGCGGUGACGUGGAGCGAAUCCUAAAAAGUCCGUCGUAGUCCGGAUUGAAGUCUGCAACUCGACUUCAUGAAGUCGGAAUCGCUAGUAAUCGCGAAUCAGCAUGUCGCGGUGAAUACGUUCCCGGGCCUUGUACACACCGCCCGU
rnacentral:rRNA from 1 species